UGGCUCAGGAUGAACGCUAGCGACAGGCUUAACACAUGCAAGUCGAGGGCAGCGAGGGAGUGCUUGCACUUCUGUCGGCGACCGGCGCACGGGUGAGUAACACGUAUGCAACCUGCCCUUGUCAGGGGGAUAAGCGAGGGAAACCUCGUCUAAUACCGCAUAUAUGAUUUAGAGGCAUCUUUUAAUCAGGAAAGAAUUAUCGGACAAGGAUGGGCAUGCGGGACAUUAGGUAGUUGGGGGUGUAACGGACCACCAAGCCGACGAUGUCUAGGGGUUCUGAGAGGAAGGUCCCCCACACUGGUACUGAGACACGGACCAGACUCCUACGGGAGGCAGCAGUGAGGAAUAUUGGUCAAUGGUCGGAAGACUGAACCAGCCAUGCCGCGUGAAGGUCACGGCCCUAUGGGUCUUAAACUUCUUUUGUAAGGGAGCAAUAAGGUUCACGUGUGGACUGAUGAGAGUACCUUACGAAUAAGCAUCGGCUAACUCCGUG
rnacentral:rRNA from 1 species